CCCCCCCCCCUCUCGGCUCUUUUUGGGUGGUCCCGACUGGGUGGCCAAAGAGGGUGGCUAGCCAGGUGGUCUGAGGUCUGGAAAUUGGCACUUUGCGGGGGGUGGGUAGAGGUGUGGGAGGCUAUGAUUUGAUGCAAAGGGGUCUCUGGUUCGAACCCCCGCUGGGAUCAAUAAUUUUUAUUUAGCGUGAAGAUACACAGAAACUACCUUAAACUUAGCAUUAUUCAAGAAAUUUCGGGGAUUUUUAGUAAUUUUCCGAAAGACAACCUGUUAAAGCUCCUUAACUCUUUCGAAGAUGUUCAAAAUAUUAUCUAACUAGAAAAUUCGAUUUCAGCACAAAAUUCUGAACUGAUUUGACCCCCCACACUGCAAAGUUCAAAAAUUUUAUAAAAGUGUCCCAGUGGCUCAGGUGGGUAGAGAGAUGGCGAUGGCUCUGAGGGUCUGGGGUUCGACCCCCACAGUGGGAAAUUUUUUUUCUGGUUUUAAUUGAUUAGGUUACAUCGUUUAAGUUCAAUUUGAAGAAAUUUUAUUUUUAAUUUUGAUUAUUUUUCUGGCAAAAAAUUUUUUUUUCAAAAUUUUUUUUUUGAAAUCUUUAAAACUUUUUUCGCAAAAAAACCAAAAAUAAAUCAAUUCCCCCGUCAAGAAAUCAUGAAAACAUCCCGCCUAAUGCACCUUCCCCCUUGUGUUGAAUGAGGUGAUAAAGUAGGUAACAAAAUGUGAGAAAUGGGCUCUUUUGAGCCGAGCCGAGCCGACUGAAUACAAAAAAUGAGACAAAAUUGCUGAGUAUAUGCUCGGACGAAGAAACAAGAAAGUUGGGGGGAAACGAAGCGGAAAGUGGAAGUUCAGUGAGGUAAAAAGUUUUAAUUAAUGAGCACAUUGCGACGUAAUAUUAAUGGGAAAUGUUGGAAAUAAUGAGAAAAUGGGUAAUGGGGGAUGGUGGGGAGAAGUUGGAAAAAAUAAUGAAAAGUUUUGAAAAAAAAUUUUUUUU
ensembl:lincRNA linc-163 ncRNA